rnacentral:tRNA from 1 species
GGGGCGGUAGCUCAACGGGCAGAGCGUAUCUUAAUGUGAUCGCGUCUUGGCAAAGACGCCAACAGCAACCCUAGCUUGAGGCAUGGGAUAUAGUUGCGGGUUCAAAUCCCGUUCGCUCCA